UUGGACAGAGCCUUUGCCAAAAGUUUUUGUGCCAACCAAUAUUGCCCUACUGUGGUCCUGGAGUGCUCCAGCCACAAUUUCUGAAGCCGAAGCUGAACCUCCAUUUAUUAGUACUAUCAAAGGAAGCCCCUCAGCUAAAUCGCCUUUUGAUGCUGUAAAUCGAUCCAUGUCAGAAUCUGUUCGACCUCUAGUGGAAACUAUCUCUCCCUCAUUCAAAAAUAAAUCACUAACAGACACAGCUUCACUUAAAAGGCCACCAGGAUUAUUUCUUA
rnacentral:ncRNA from 1 species